rnacentral:rRNA from 1 species
UUGACAUCCAGAGAAUUUAGCAGAGAUGCUUUAGUGCCUUCGGGAACUCUGAGACAGGUGCUGCAUGGCUGUCGUCAGCUCGUGUUGUGAAAUGUUGGGUUAAGUCCGCAACGAGCGCAACCCUUUAUCCUUUGUUGCCAGCACGUAACGGUGGGAACUCAAAGGAGACUGCCGGUGAUAAACCGGAGGAAGGUGGGGAUGACGUCAAGUCAUCAUGGCCCUUACGAGUAGGGCUACACACGUGCUACAAUGGCGCAUACAAAGAGAAGCGACCUCGCGAGAGCAAGCGGACCUCAUAAAGUGCGUCGUAGUCCGGAUUGGAGUCUGCAACUCGACUCCAUGAAGUCGGAAUCGCUAGUAAUCGUAAAUCAGAAUGUUACGGUGAAUACGUUCCCGGGCCUUGUACACACCGCCCGUCACACCAUGGGAGUGGGUUGCAAAAGAAGUAGAUAGCUUAACCUUCGGGAGGGCGUUUACCACUUUGUGAUUCAUGACUGGGGUGAAGUCGUAACAAGGUAAGCGUAGUGCU